CACAACUUCUGGAAUAAAAGGGAAUCAUGACGGAAUAUUUCCGUCAUGUGUCCUUAAGGGGUUAAUGAGGAAGUGUUUGGUCUACAUCAGGCGUGUCCAACAUGUGGCCCUGAACUGUUUGUAAUGCGGCCCAAGUUGCCGUUCGGGCUGCUGGUUGGUGAGGGAACCCAUUACUUAUGGUGCUUUUCGCGUGCCCUGCAGUAAGCCAGCAGCAUGGAUAUGAUGUCAUCCCGGCAUCGGCAUCAAUACUGGGCACGGAGGACCUGUGCAGGAACAGCAUAGUGAUCCCAUCAUGGCAGCAACCCCUUAC